rnacentral:tRNA from 1 species
CCUUAGCUCAGUUGGUAGAGCAACGGACUGAAAAUCCGUGUGUCCCUGGUUCGAUUCCUGGAGG